CUCGGUAGCAGUAGCAACCGACUGCGGUCCCCUUUCACGUUGUGGGGCCAGUGUUCUUUUGCUAUUUGCAGUAAACCUUGCCGCUGGUCACUUUGGGUCCACACUGCGUUUAUGAGGUGUAACACUCACUGUGAAGGUCUGCAGCUUCACUCCUGAAGCCAGGGAGAGCACGAACCCACCAUGGGGGAACAAACAACUCCAGACGUGCUGCCUUAAGAGCUGUAACACUCGCCGUAAAGGUUUGCAGGUUCACUCCUGAGCCAGCGAGACCAUGAACCCCCCAGAAGGAAGAAACUCGGAGCACAUCCGAACAUCAGAAGGAGCAAACGCCAGACACGCUGCGUUUAAGAACAGCAACACUCACCACGAGAGUCUGCGGCUUCAUUCUUGAAGUCAGUGAGACCAAGAACCCACCAAUUCCAGACACAAUAUCUUACUAGAGAAGUUUUAAUUUUGCUUUUUUUCAGAUAUCUCAGGGAUUCACUGCUCUGGAAUCAAUGUUUACAUUAAUUUUUUGGCUUAAUAACUCCUGCACCUGUGAGCAAUGAAAAUUUGCACUGCCUGUUGGUACAUGGUUUAUAGGCUUGGGAUUUGGAUUUUUUUUUUAACUGUAGACUUUUAUCUUUCUAUUCAGACCCCAUAAUAGAGAUAAACGUUCUGUGCCUUACCAUUUACUUUUCUCAGCCUGUGGCAAGAAGUUUGAAGUUUGUUGGGACACCUUUUCAUCAAGGAGAACUUGGCAGAAUCUAGUGCUGGUCCUGGAGCUAAGUCUUGAGAAGACCUGGAGGCUUCCACUUCUGCGCUUUUGGAAAUUCUGAGCUUCCGUGUUAGAAGAGUUGCUACCCUUCUGGAGAUACUACAUGGAAAGACCUCAUGAAGAGGCCAUAUGGAAAGGGAGAAGCCUUGUCCAACCAUCUCCACCAAGGUCCCAGGCAUAUGAGAGAGCCAACUUGGACAGUCUGGUCCUGUUGAGCCCCCAGAUGCCCACAGUCUCAGUUGACAACAUGUGGAGCAGAAGAACUGCCCAGAUGAGCCCAGCCAACCCAGUGAAUCAUGAGAAUAAGGAAAUGGUUUUUGCUUAAAGCUUUUGCUUUGAAGUGGUUCCUUAUGCAGCAGUAGAUAUCUGAAACAGGGGGCAUUGAUUAGAUUUGUCACUGGGAAGCAGCUGUCUGGCCAGGAACUGUGUCUCCCAGCACCCUCUGCAUCUAGGUGUGGACAUAUGACUAGUACUUACCAAUGGAAUGUCAGCGGAAGUGACGUGUCACAAUGAGCCAUGGCUUUUAAGAAGUCAUUAUUUCUUUUCCAUGUUCCCUUUCCCAUUACGCUGGCUGGAUAUAAGUGACAUCAAGGCCCUAGGGGAUGGCAGAACUCCCAGAUGGAAGAAAGCUGGAUGUCUGAGUCAUGGCAAGGAGAGCCAUUCACCAACUAGGAAACCACGUAGAAAUAUUCCACAGGAGAAAUAAACUUUUGUUGUAUUUGAGCAUUUCAAAACUUGAGGUUUAUUUGUUGUAGCAGCUAGCAUUUCCCUAAUGAAUAUAGUUGUUCACUUAUUUGAAAAUUCACAUAGAUUUUUCAUAGAGGAGAUCAUUACUAG
rnacentral:lncRNA from 1 species